rnacentral:rRNA from 1 species
CCUACGGGAGGCAGCAGUAAGGAAUAUUGGUCAAUGGACGCAAGUCUGAACCAGCCAUGCCGCGUGAAGGAUGAAGGCCCUCUGGGUUGUAAACUUCUUUUACAGGGGACGAAAAACGGGCAUUCUUGCUCACUUGACGGUACCCUGGGAAUAAGCACCGGCUAACUCCGUGCCAGCAGCCGCGGUAAUACGGAGGGUGCAAGCGUUAUCCGGAUUCACUGGGUUUAAAGGGUGCGUAGGUGGGCUUGUAAGUCAGUGGUGAAAUCUCCAGGCUUAACCUGGAAACUGCCAUUGAUACUAUGGGUCUUGAAUUUUCUGGAGGACAGCGGAAUAUGUCAUGUAGCGGUGAAAUGCUUAGAUAUGACAUAGAACACCGAUUGCGAAGGCAGCUGUCUACGGGGAUAUUGACACUGAGGCACGAAAGCGUGGGGAUCAAACAGGAUUAGAUACCCUGGUAGUCCACGCCCUAAACGAUGGAUACUCGACAUACGCGAUACACAGUGUGUGUCUGAGCGAAAGCAUUAAGUAUCCACCUGGGAAGUACGACCGCAAGGUUGAAACUUAAAGGAAUUGACGG